CCCCAAAAUAACCCAACACCCACAACUUCAGAACCCAACAGCCACAGUUUUAGAAAAUCCAAAAAAAAAAUAGAGAAAGAAAGAAAGGGAGAAAAGAGAACGAGGAGAGCAAAGGGGAGGAAGGAAGAAGAAGGAGGCGGUGCGGUGGGUGUCACUGCCACCGUCGCCGUCGUUGUUGGCAGAGGAGAGAGGAGAUCCGAGAGAGGAGAUCGCGUAGUUGCCGCUGCCCAGGCCAGCCAUGUCGCCGCCGCCAUUCAGCUCGCUGCCGUCCUGCGCCGUUGUGCCACCGACCAAGAAGACUGCGUAAGAGAGAGCGAGACACGAAGGAGAGGAGGUCGUGGGUCACUGUCCUCAAAGCUUUCGUCGUCACUGUGCAAAGCUGCCGCCAUCGUCCUUAUCGCGGGCUGCUGCUGCUGCGCGUGUGCUCGCUGCCACCUCUGGGUCCGUCACCGUCGAGCAGAGCCUCUGUGGAGAACUGUCGCCGUCAAAAGCUGCUCCGCCACCGUUUAGGUCACCGGGAAUGUGGCCGUGAUCACCGAAACCACCAUCGGAAUUAUCGCUAUUCAGUACAGUCGUUCUUUCUUGUCUGGGAUCAAGUUCUGGGUCUCGCAUGCUGAGUUCUAUGACUGUGCAUACGACAUCAAGCUGCUGUGUUGUCACCGGAGCUGCCACUGCUCUGUUCUCUUGCUUAUUUGCUCUGUUCUCUCGUCCCGAACCUCUAUAGUUGUUAUUCUGUUAUAUGUUUCUAAGGUCCUUGCAACGUUAAUGCUUUAGGUUUGAAUUCGGUUAUUACGUGCUGUGGUUGAGGUUGUGCUGUUGCGGGCCAUGAGAAAAAAAGUUUUUGUUGCGUGGUUAAAUCGUAAUCGAGGAAUCGGAUGAAGGAGCAUUAUGAAGAGUUAUAUUGCGUUUUAGUUUAUAUGAUUUUGUAUUAAUUAGAUAAUUUUUCUUCCCUCGUCUUUGUUAUUACAAUUUUGUAAGAGGGAUAGGAGUUAUAUGUUUUAUAUGUAUAUUAUAUUAUAAGCUAUUAUGUAAGAAGUCUUGUAUAUGAAUCUAUGCCUGUUUGUUUUUUUACGAUAAAGUAUUUAUUUCAUGUUUUCAAAGAAA